rnacentral:rRNA from 1 species
CCGUAACUAUAACGGUCCUAAGGUAGCGAAAUUCCUUGUCGGGUAAGUUCCGACCCGCACGAAUGGCGUAACGAUGGCCACACUGUCUCCUCCUGAGACUCAGCGAAGUUGAAGUGGUUGUGAAGAUGCAAUCUACCCGCUGCUAGACGGAAAGACCCCGUGAACCUUUACUGUAGCUUUGCAUUGGACUUUGAAGUCACUUGUGUAGGAUAGGUGGGAGGCUUUGAAGCAGAGACGCCAGUCUCUGUGGAGCCGUCCUUGAAAUACCACCCUGGUGUCUUUGAGGUUCUAACCCAGACCCGUAAUCCGGGUCGGGGACCGUGCAUGGUAGGCAGUUUGACUGGGGCGGUCUCCUCCCAAAGAGUAACGGAGGAGUUCGAAGGUUACCUAGGUCCGGUCGGAAAUCGGGCUGAUAGUGCAAUGGCAAAAGGUAGCUUAACUGCGAGACCGACAAGUCGAGCAGGUGCGAAAGCAGGACAUAGUGAUCCGGUGGUUCUGUAUGGAAGGGCCAUCGCUCAACGGAUAAAAGGUACUCUGGGGAUAACAGGCUGAUACCGCCCAAGAGUUCAUAUCGACGGCGGUGUUUGGCACCUCGAUGUCGGCUCAUCUCAUCCUGGGGCUGAAGCAGGUCCCAAGGGUAUGGCUGUUCGCCAUUUAAAGAGGUACGCGAGCUGGGUUUAGAACGUCGUGAGACAGUUCGGUCCCUAUCUACCGUGGGCGUUGGAAAUUUGAGAGGAUCUGCUCCUAGUACGAGAGGACCAGAGUGGACGAACCUCUGGUGUUCCGGUUGUCACGCCAGUGGCAUUGCCGGGUAGCUAUGUUCGGAUGGGAUAACCGCUGAAAGCAUCUAAGCGGGAAGCCCACCUCAAGAUAAGAUUUCCCUAAAGAGCCGUUGUAGACUACGACGUUGAUAGGUUGGGUGUGGAAGCAUGGCGACAUGUGUAGCUAACCAAUACUAAUUGCUCGUUUGGCUUGACCAU